rnacentral:rRNA from 1 species
GGGGAGAGUUGUCUGUAGCUGUGCUGGCUUUUAAACCAAGGCAAUGUGCACGCUUGGCUUCUCUCUUUCUUCAUUUUACACACCUGUGAACCUGUAGUAGGGCAUCUCGCAAGAGGUGCACUAUGUCUUCUCACAUACUCCAUCACUAGUUUAUAGAAUGUACCCUUUUGUUCUCGUCAGAGACAAAAAGAAAGCUUUUAUAACUUUCAGCAACGGAUCUCUUGGCUCUCGCAUCGAUGAAGAAUGCAGCGAAUUGCGAUAUGUAAUGUGAAUUGCAGAUUUUCAGUGAAUCAUCGAAUCUUUGAACGCAUCUUGCGCUCCUUGGUAUUCCGAGGAGCAUGCCUGUUUGAGUGUCAUUAAAUUCUCAACUCCCUUUGAUUUCUUCAAGGGUGAGCUUGGAUGUGGAGGCUUUGCUGGCUGUAAAGUCAGCUCCUCUGAAAUGCAUUGGCAAAGGUUGUGUGCAUGAAAUAUGGCCUUUCGGUGUGAUAAUGAUCACUGUGGGCUGGUUGCUUUAACACCUAUGUCCAACUUUUUCCAGCUGGAAAAAAACACUUGACAACUUGACCUCAAAUCAGGUAGGACUACCCGCUGAACUUAA